rnacentral:tRNA from 1 species
CAUCCAGAUAGGCGAAGGCCGCGCGUCGGUGGCGAUGCAAGCGCCUCGAACAGCGAGGUGGCUUCGGUUCCAAGCCAGUUCUGCAUGA